GCUGGAGUAAGAUUGGCAACUGGAAUCAUCUCUUCAUCAGCAGAACUAAUAUCUCCUGAUAAAUAAUACUGUUGCCAGGAAUUGUUACUGAAUGUUUUGUAUAAAUUGUGGUUGGUUGACUUGUGAAUCCCUUGUAAAAGCCUGCAACAUAUCAUUAUAUAACAUAUCUAUUCAAAUGUCGACUAUGUACAACAAAGAAAUGAACAGCCAUACAGCUUUCGGUCACAGGUAAAGAAUUAAACAAUAUACGAACGAACCAUUUAUAUGUAUGUAAAAUAUUGGAAAUACAUAGUAAAUAAAAUAAA